ACUAAUGCCUGACACUCUCUACUAUGAAUGUUUGAAUCCUGAGUACUUUGAAUGAAUAUAAUGUGAAUGGAGUUUAUUUCAGUCCCAGCAAACAACAUUUCCACCAGUCUGCAUCAUCAUAUUGAUAAGCAGUAGUAUUUCAGAAUCAGUUGGCAAACCAAGUUGCAUGUGCUGCAUAGAGCAGAUAAUUCAGACUACAACCCACAAGAAUGUACUCCAUACAUAGAGUACAAGCAAGUUCUAACAUAUGACAUCAUUCAAAUUCCUGAGUACAACCAAUUUGACAGCAUUACAUAGUUGAAAAGCAUGAUAGUUCACCUUCAUCACAGAAGGAAAUUCACACAGGUACAUAGUUCAACGCCAACAUCAAGUAAGCAAUUACCUAUACUUCCUCCCACUUGCAGUAAGGUAACUCCACAUCCUGCCCUUACCCCUGCCUCUCACAGGUAGGAUCUUUGAAACUACAACACAGAAAGUUGAAAGAUUAUCAAAAUUUCUACCGAAAACAGUAAACAGGUGCUUCAAAAUUCUUCAAAGAUAAACUAAAUAAAGCUACAUCGGAAUAAAAACAGAUAUUGAAGAAAUACGCAAUACACAUGUUGGAGAAUACAAUGCAAGCUUCUAGAGUGUUCUCAAUAUUACAAGAAAGAAGACAUUACUAUGGAAUACUCUAGAAUAUAAAAUAAAUAAAAGAGGGAACCUUCUAGUGUUUAGAUAUGCAUGAAGAAGCUUUGGAAUACUCUAGAAUAGGAGUUUAAAAUAGAUAAAUAGGAAACCUUCUAGUAUCUAGAUAUUUAUGUAGAAGUGUGUGGAAGGCUUUAAAUAGUUUGUAUCAAUGGCUAAGAUUUUGACACAUGUCAAAGAUCCAAUGGCCAUGUAGUCCUAUAAAUAGAGGCCCUUGCCUCACACCUUGUGUAGUUGAGAAUAAGGAAGUGAAGAAGGUGGAGAACAAGGUGUGAGCAAGUGUAAGGUGUGUAUGCUCUCUCUUGUACUAAUAUUCCUAAAGCAAUAUAGUACUACUUUGUUCAUAUGUGUCUCCCGGUUAGGCCUUGUUAUUUCUAAGUACUUGGUGCAUAUAAGUUGUGAUUUAACGUGAGCGGAUUCGCCCGGAAUCACAACGGUCUUGUUUCAACGUGAGUGGCAUAGCCGCCCGGAUUCAAGACUUGCUUUAACGUGAGUGGCUCUGCCGCCCGGAAGCUUGCACUAAGUAAGUAGAAAUAAAAAGGGACUAAUCAACUACACCAAAGUAGUUGGUAUAGGUGAAUAGGCCCUCUCGUAGUGUGUUAGGUCCACCUCGAAUUCUCUACAGUUGGUAUCAGAGCAGGCGGUCCGGGACCGUCAUUUGGAGGAAGAGUUGUAAGCACGGGGUGCUUGCUUUGUUCGGUGCAACAAGAAGGCGCUGAGGGGAGACUCUGCUGGUGCACAGUCUAGGACUGUGAAGCUGGUCCGGGACCAAAGCUUACUUGACGCUGGGCGCAAGUCACCAUGGCGGAUCUUGCUAGCUCAAGCAGCGGGAUCAGGAAGCUUAAUAGCCACAACUAUGGCUAUUGGCAGACCUGCAUGGAGUCCUACCUACAAGGUCAGGACCUAUGGGAGGUCGUUGCGGGCACCGAAGCAUUUCCUCCAGAGAAUGCUGAUGCCUUGCGGAAAUGGAAGAUCAAGUCAGGGAAGGCCAUGUUUGUAUUGAAGACGACCAUCGAAGAGGACCUAUUGGAGCACAUCCGUGAUGAGAAGACACCUAAGGAGGCAUGGGAGACUUUGGCGAAGCUAUUCUCAAGGAAAAAUGAAGCACGGCUCCAGCUCUUGGAAAAUGAGCUCGCAGGUAUCUCACAAGGCAAUCUAUCCAUCAGUCAAUAUUUUUCGAAGGUGAAGUUUAUUUGCCGUGAGAUAUCCCAACUUGCCCCGGAUGAGAAGGUGAGCGAGGCUCGAAUGAAGAGAAUCAUCAUCCACGGUCUUAGACCCGAAUACAAUGGGUUUAUGGCUGCGGUGAUGGGAUGGCCUACUCCACCUUCAGUAGUGGAGUUGGAGAAUUUAUUGGUAAAUCAAGAGGAGUUAGCUAAGAAGAUGGGGAGCAUAACCAUAAAGGAAGAAGAGGAGGCACUUUUCACUAAGAAGAAGAGCCCACACCAAAAACAAUGGAAGCCCAAGCCUAAGUGGACAGAAGGUGGGAAAGAACAUCCAAAGGAGAGAAGCAACUCUUCAGGGGGAGACCAACGAGAAAGACAAGGACCAAAAUGGUACGAGAAGAAUGCAAGGAGACCAAGUGAUGGAUGCUUCAAUUGUGGCAAGGCAGGUCACUUUGCUCGAGAAUGCCGAUUUCCAAGGAGGUCAAAUGAUGGAUGCUCCAAUUGUGAUAAGAAAGGUCACCUUACUCGAGAAUGUCGAUAUCCAAGAAGGCGUUAUGAAGGGAAUGUGGCCACCACAAAGGAGAAAGAGGAGAUCACUCUAGAAGUAUCCAUGAGCGAAGAAGAAUGGGACGCCGAAGCUGGAUACUCUCAAGAGGUUGACAUAGAAGAUUUGGAGGAAGACAUGGAGGUGCCAGCCCUUGCAAUGGAUGAAGAAGAGUUGGAGGAAGACAUGGAGCCACCAGUCUUUGCAACGGAUGAAGAAGAGUUGGAGAAGGACAUGGAGGCGUCAGCCCUUGCAGCAAUCAAGGAUCCAAAAAUCAACUAUAAAGAUGAUUGGAUCGUUGAUUCUGGGUGCUCCAACCAUAUGACUAAUGAUGACAACAAGCUGCAAGAUAUGACCGAGUACAAGGGAGGAAAAAUGGUGCUGACAGCCAACAACUCCAAGCUAUCGAUUUCCCAUGUUGGAAAGACAGCCGUUCCAAGGUAUGGUCCUCAACAACUCCAACUUGAGAGAGUCUAUCACGUUCCAGGCUUGAAGAAGAAUCUGUUGUCAGUACCUCAACUGACAGCAGAAGGGAAGUAUGUUCUGUUUGGUCCACAAGAAGUAGCAAUCUUCAGAAGGCUCAAGGUGAUCGGCACACCCAUCAUGGAAGGGAAAAAGAGAGACUCACUCUUUGUGCUCUCUGCUGAGUCAGCAUACGUAGACAAGACUCGAAAGAAUGAGACGGCUGAUCUUUGGCAUGCGCGGCUUGGACACGUCAGCUACCACAAGUUGAAGGAGAUGAUGGAGAAGCACGUAGUGAAGGGGCUUCCUGAUCUUGAUAUCCGUACAGACAUGGUCUGUGCUGGAUGUCAGUAUGGCAAGGCCCACCAAUUGCCAUACAAGGAGUCGCAGCAUCAGUCAAAGGUACCUCUAGAGCUCAUACACUCAGAUGUCUUUGGCCCAGUCAAGCAAAUAUCACUUGGAGGCAUGAGAUACAUGGUGACCUUCAUCGACGACUUCUCAAGGUACGUUUGGGUAUACUUUAUGAAGGAGAAGUCUGAGACCUUUAUGAAAUUUAAGGAAUUUAAGGAUAUGAUAGAAGGUGAACUCGAGUAUAAGAUACGGUGCCUACGCACUGACAAUGGGAGAGAAUAUUUAUCCAAUGAGUUCACCAUCUAUCUCAAGAAAAAUAAGAUAAAAAGGCAGUUAACUUGCCCUAAUACUCCACAACAAAAUGGAGUAGCGGAGCGCAAGAAUCGUCACCUUGCGGAAACUUGUCGGAGUAUGUUGCACGCCAAAAAUGUUCCUGGAAGAUUCUGGGCCGAGUGUAUGAGGACUGCAGCUCAUGUGAUUAAUAAGCUACCACAAGUGAGGUUGGGGUUCAAAUCACCACAUGAGAAGCUUUGGAGGAUGAAACCAGCCAUCAGCCACCUCAAGGUAUUUGGUUGCGUAUGCUAUAUCUUUGUGCCAGAUCACCUAAGAACCAAGUUUGAAAAGAAGGCGAAGAGGUGCAUCUUCGUUGGUUACGAUGAUGCUCAAAAAGGAUGGAGGUGUUGUGAUCCAACCACAGGUAAAUGUCACACCUCAAGGAACAUUGUGUUCGAUGAAGCUUCUUCAUGGUGGUCCCCUAAGAAAGAAGAGAUUCCUGAAUCACCUGACGUGGAGGAGGUUAUAGAAGAAGAAAGAGAUCAGAAGCUAGAAACCCCAAGUGAAGGAGAAAGGAGCUCACCAAGUAAGACCAAGAGUCCGUGGAAGACUGGCAUACACCAACCUGAAGAGCCACAAACCGAGGAGCAUGAUCAAGAACUUCGAAGAUCAACAAGACCCAGGAAGCCCAAUCCAAGGUACGCUAAUGCUGCUCUUGCCGAUGAGUCUUUACCUAUUGAGCCAUCUUCCUAUGAAGAAGCAGCACGAGGCCCUGAGUGGCAGAAGGCGAUGGAAGAAGAGAUUAAGGCACUAAAGGAAAACCAAACAUGGGACUUAGUGCCAAAGCCAAAGGACGUGAAGCCAAUAUCCUGCAAAUGGGUCUACAAAGUGAAAACCCGAACAGAUGGCUCAAUUGAAAGGUAUAAAGCUCGACUUGUGGCACGAGGUUUCUCGCAGGAGUAUGGACUGGAUUACGAAGAAACAUUCAGUCCGGUGGCAAAAAUCACAACAGUUCGAGUCUUGCUUGCAUUGGCUGCCAGCAAGUCUUGGGAAUUGUGGCAGAUGGAUGUCAAGAAUGCCUUUCUACAUGGAGAACUUGACAAGGAGAUUUACAUGGAGCAGCCAAAGGGGUUUGAGAGCAAGAAAUACCCCGAGCAUGUCUGCAAACUAAAGAAGGCACUCUACGGGCUAAAGCAAGCACCAAGAGCAUGGUACGGAAAGAUCGGUGAGUUCCUAGUACACAAUGGCUUUAAAGUUGCUCCAUCAGACUCUAGUUUAUUUGUGAUGGCCAAGGAAGGAAGACUAGCAAUAGUUCUAGUCUAUGUUGAUGACUUGAUCAUCACGGGAGAUUACUCCGAGGAGAUAGAAAGGACAAGGGAAAAUCUCUCCGUGAGAUUUCAAAUGAAGGAACUUGGUGAGUUAAGACACUUCCUUGGACUUGAGGUGGAGCACACUAAGAAUGGGAUAUUCUUAGGCCAACAAAAGUAUGCGAAGGACCUUCUUAAGAGGUAUGGGAUGCUUGACUGCAAACCUAUUUCCACUCCUAUGGAUCCUAACGCAAGACUUCAAGAAGACAAAGGAAAGAACUUGGAGGAUGCAACCAUGUAUCGGCAACUGGUCGGGAGUCUUAUCUAUCUGACACUUAGUCGGCCAGAUAUUUCCUAUGCCGUUGGAGUGGCAAGCCGAUACAUGAGCACACCAAAGAAGCCUCACCUUGAUGCAAUAAGGCGAAUACUCAGGUAUGUCAAAGGCACCUUAAAUUAUGGCAUCCUAUAUAAGAAAACAAAAGAAUGCCAGGUUAUUGGUUACUGUGACGCCGACUAUGCCGGAGAUUGUGAUACACGGAGAUCAACCACUGGAUAUCUCUUCAGUCUUGGAUCGGGAGCCAUAACAUGGUGCAGCAAAAGGCAACCUACAGUGGCACUAUCAAGUACUGAAGCAGAAUAUCGAUCAGCGGCAGCGGCAGCACAAGAAAGCACCUGGCUUAAACAAUUGAUGGAAGACCUUCAUCAAACUCCAAAAGAUCAGGUAUGGAUUUUCUGUGAUAACUUAACCACCAUAAGGCUAGCAGAAAAUCCUGUCUUCCAUGCAAGGACAAAGCACAUAGAGGUGCACUACCACUACAUCAGAGAAAAUGUCCUUAAGGGGGAAAUUGAGAUGGUGCCAACAAAGACAGAAGACCAGACUGCAGAUAUCCUCACCAAGAGUCUCAACAAAUCAAAGUUCGAGAAGUUUCGAAAAGCUCUUGGCAUGGUCACCAAAGAAGCUUUGCAUUGAGGGGGAGUGUUGGAGAAUACAAUGCAAGCUUCUAGAGUGUUCUCAAUAUUACAAGAAAGAAGACAUUACUAUGGAAUACUCUAGAAUAUAAAAUAAAUAAAAGAGGGAACCUUCUAGUGUUUAGAUAUGCAUGAAGAAGCUUUGGAAUACUCUAGAAUAGGAGUUUAAAAUAGAUAAAUAGGAAACCUUCUAGUAUCUAGAUAUUUAUGUAGAAGUGUGUGGAAGGCUUUAAAUAGUUUGUAUCAAUGGCUAAGAUUUUGACACAUGUCAAAGAUCCAAUGGCCAUGUAGUCCUAUAAAUAGAGGCCCUUGCCUCACACCUUGUGUAGUUGAGAAUAAGGAAGUGAAGAAGGUGGAGAACAAGGUGUGAGCAAGUGUAAGGUGUGUAUGCUCUCUCUUGUACUAAUAUUCCUAAAGCAAUAUAGUACUACUUUGUUCAUAUGUGUCUCCCGGUUAGGCCUUGUUAUUUCUAAGUACUUGGUGCAUAUAAGUUGUGAUUUAACGUGAGCGGAUUCGCCCGGAAUCACAACGGUCUUGUUUCAACGUGAGUGGCAUAGCCGCCCGGAUUCAAGACUUGCUUUAACGUGAGUGGCUCUGCCGCCCGGAAGCUUGCACUAAGUAAGUAGAAAUAAAAAGGGACUAAUCAACUACACCAAAGUAGUUGGUAUAGGUGAAUAGGCCCUCUCGUAGUGUGUUAGGUCCACCUCGAAUUCUCUACAACACAGAGUGAAGCAAAUAGCAACAGUAGAAGAAUAGAGCCAAGAACAUAACAGUAAGUGAAACAAAGACUGAAGAAAACAGGUUUGAUGAAUGGUAUCACCAGGACCAUUUAGCCUCAUGCAAACUUGUCAAAAUGUUCAGGAAUUAUAUUGCAUGUAGUGGCUUGAACUGGUGACGAGUUAUCACGACCUUAACUCAAAUGGUGUCACACCAGGCGAAUUAGAGAUCUGAUUUCAGUGUAUUAGGGAUACAAGCUGGAAGAGAUAGAAGUCAAGGAGGAAGAGCACGGGCGGGGAAAGUAGUGUUUCACACUCUACAGUUCAUCGUUAUCUCUUCCUUACUCUCCUAGCAUUACAUAGGCAAGGUGCCUGAUUCACUGGACACAGCCAGGUCAGGAGUGGACUCCAGUUCAGUGGGCUGCAACCUUUCUUCAGUGGACUUAUCCAUGACGGCCCGGCCCAGGUGCGUGACAUUCUCCACGUCUUGUUGACCUGCUUGUCCCCAAGCAGGUGCAUUUGGAUACUCUUCUUGCAAUCUAUUCUUGUUUUCCCAGGUUGUCCAAGAUGAAAGCAAGGAAGACCAUUGUAUCAGCACCAAAGAAACUGAAGAUUUACCUGUUGGGAUUUGCUUGGAAUCAAGAACAACAACAGGCACAAUGUCAGUGUUUGUUGAAGCACAUUGCAGAGGAAGAUCAGGUUCAGCUACCAUGUGAGCUGGCAAAGCUGGUUUCAGUACAGAGACAUGAACAACCGGGUGAAUUUUACUGCCCACUGGAAGAUCCAAUUUGUAUGCCACCUCGCCUAUACGUUGCAGUAUAGUGUAUGGGCCAAAAUACUUAUAACUGAGUUUCUGAUUAGAUCUUCUAGCGAUGGAAGUUUGCACAUACGGUUGUAAUUUCAGAUAGACUUUGUCGCCAACCUGAAAUGUUCUUUCCAUGCGCUUCUUGUCAGCCUGACUCUUCAUACGUUGUUGAGCUCUCAACAAAUGUUGCUGAAUGAGAUUAUUCAUAUCAUCCUUCUCCUUAAGCCAUUCUGCCAAAUCUGGUGUUGUGUCAGCAGUACCAUCUUGUAACCAAAGUGUUUUGGUUUGUAUCCAUAUAAAACUUCAAAAGGUGACCUUUUUAGAGCUGAAUGAAAUGUUGUAUUGUACCAGUACUCAGCUAAAGCCAGCCAUUUUGGCCAUUUUGUUGGGCAAGCAUUAGUCAUACAUCGCAAAUAUGUCUCUAGGCACUGAUUUAACCUUUCGGUCUGUCCAUCCGUUUGUGGAUGGUAACUAGAACUCAUAUUCAAUGUAGUAUCUGUGAUUUUGAACAAUUGUUGCCAAAAGUUGCUAGUGAAUACUUUGUCUCGAUCUGAUAUAAUAAUCUUGGGAAGACCAUGAAGCUUGUACACAUGCUCAACAAAUACUUGUGCGACCGUCAUAGCAGUAUAUGGGUGAGCGAGAGGGAUAAAGUGACCGUACUUUGUAAAUUUGUCGACGAUCACCAAAAUAGUAUCAAACCUUGAUGAUUUGGGCAAGCCUUCGAUGAAGUCUAAACUGAUAAUAUCCCAAGCUUUCUCUGGUAUAGGUAAGGGUUGCAAUAAUCCUGGAGUACGAGUAUGCUCAGGCUUCGCUUGCUGACAAACUGUGCAUCCAUUAACAUAAUCUUUCACGUUUCGCUUAAGAUUGGGCCACGCAAACAAGGCCUUCACUUUCUGAUAUGUUGCAGUUAUGUCAUUAUGCCCUCCGACACCACUGGCAUGGAGUGCUAACAAAAUUGCUUGUUUUGCUUGCUGAUGGUUACCUAACCAGAUUCGAUCCUUGUACUUAAUAAUGCCAUCAAGCAAAGAAUAUCCGGUCUCAUUUGGGCUCUGAAGGCUCAGUUGAGUGAGAAGUGUUUUGGUCUCUGGAUCUUGUAGAUAACCUUCCACCACAACCUCUAACCAUCUUGGUUUGCUUAUAGAUAUGGCAGACACUGAAUGAUGUUGAUACUGACGAGAUAGAGCAUCAGCUGCCCCAUUAGCUGCACCUUGCUUAUAUUUGACCUGAUAUUGAAGACCCAGUAAUUUACAAAAUGCUUGGUGUUGAACACUGUUUGUCAAUUGUUGUUCCUCUAGAUGAAUAAGACUUUUGUGAUCCGUGAAAAUAGUGAAUUGUUGAUGCUGCAAGUAAGAUUUCCAUUUCUCUACUGCCAUGAUUAGCGCCAAACACUCUUUCUCAUAUGUGGAGAAGGCCUGUGAACGCGAGCUUAGUGUCUUACUAAGGUAAGCAAUAGGAUGCCCAUGUUGUGAAAGGACUGCGCCAAUACCCACUCCUGAGGCAUCCGUAUGGAGCGUGAAAGGCUUACUGAAAUCCGGCAAAGCCAGGACAGGAGCCUUGACCAAUGCUUCUUUGAGAGCUAAGAAGGCCUCAUUCACAGUGGAGGACCAAACAAAUGAUAUAUUUUUCUUCAACAGCUCUGUAAGAGGUUUGCUAAUGGUACCAUAGCCUUGAAUGAAUUUCCGGUAGUAUCCUGAUAGUCCAAGAAAACCUCUGAGUUGCUUGAUAUUUGUAGGUGUAGGCCAACUCUGAACUGCCUUUAUCUUUUCAGGAUCUGUAGCAACUCCCUCCGCACUGAUAACAUGCCCCAAAUACUCUAGUUUAGGCUGAGAAAAUGAGCACUUGGUGCCUUUGACAAAUAAUUUGUUGACACGAAGGAUGGAAAACACCUCCUGGAGAUGAUUUUUAUGGUCUUGCAGUGAUGUACUGUAUAUGAGUAUGUCAUCCAUGAAUAUGAGGACACUCCUCCUUAUCAUAUGGGCAAAUAAACUGUUCAUUGCAUUUUGGAAGGUCGCUAGUGCGUUGGUAAGGCCGAAAGGCAUUACUUUGAAUUCCCAAUGGCCAUGAUGUGUCUUGAAUGCCGUUUUGUGUUCUUCGCCUGGAACCAAUCUAAUUUGGUGAUACCCGGAGCGAAGAUCUAACUUAGUAAACCAGCAAGCCCCUGCCAGCUCAUCCAACAAUUCAUCUACAAUUGGAAGGGGGUACUUGUUCUUCACUGUUAAUGCGUUCAGAUGCCGGUAAUCAAUGCAAAGACACCAUGCUCCAUCUUUUUUCUUGACCAAAAUUACCGGCGAAGCGUACGGACUGGAACUGAUUUGUACUAUUCCCCUAUUGACCAUGUCGCUGAUUUGUUUUUCAAUCUCAUCUUUUUGUGUAGGAGAAUAUCUGUAAGCCUUCUUAUGGAAAGGAGCAGCACCCGGAAUUAAUGGAAUUUGAUGGUCGCAGUGCCUGUGAGGUGGUAGUUCCAUAGGUUCUUUGAACAACUCUGAAUUAGCAUCAAUGACCUCCUUAAUGGAUGGUGGUAUUGUGUUUUCUGAAGGCUCUGUUGAAAUCAAUGAGAGUUGAACCAAGUGCGCCACUGCGUUUUCUUCAAUCAAGUGCUGAAGUUGUUUACCAGAUACCCGAGGACAGUGUGUUGUGUUAUCUUUCACGCCACGCAAAGUGAUAUGCUUGCCCAUAUACUUAAAGCGUAGCGUCUUACGACGCCAAUCUACCCACAUCUUCCCAUUGUUCUGUUCUUCAAGCCAGUCCAUUCCUAACACCAUAUCAUAGCCCCCCAGCUUCAAUAGACGGACAUCAGUGACAAACUUAGCAUCUUGAACACCCCAUUGUAGUCCAGUUAUGCCAGAUGUACUCUUGACCUUGGCCCCAUUGGCAAGAGUGACUACUGCUGGAGUUGUUUUAGUAAUGUCACACUGGAGUUCAGUUGCAAGAUCUUCAUGGAUAAAAUUGCUUGAACUGCCAGAAUCAAUAAGGAUCAGAACUAGACGCUUCCCGAUUGCACCAAGUGGCCUGAUCGUGCGUUUCGGUUGUGUACCAGAAAUAGCUGCCAAAGACACAUGUAAGCACAUUAUCUGCUCUUCAUCAGGUUCACUCUCAGCAUCGCUAGUGACAGAAGGAGCAACAUUAUCAGGGUCCUUGUCAAUCGGCAGAGCUUCACACAAUUCUUCCAUCACAGCAAGUGAAAUAUUUCUGGGACACUUGUGGCCAGGAGCAUAUGGGCCACCACACUUGAAACAUCCCCCCCUGGCUCGGCGUUGUGCACGGAGUGUAUCAAGUUUUGUGGGCGGAGCACGGAAGUCAGACUCCUUUCCCUUGUGUGCAGCAGCCUCAGCAGGAUGUUCAUCCACAAUACCUUUACCAGCUGAGUUAUGCCAUUUCUUUGGUUCAUACUUAUUGUACAGAAUUUUGCGCUCUGCAGCCAAUUGUGCUUCCUGCAAUUGUGCCAGAGAAAUAGCCGCAUCAACCGUUCUAGGUUUAUGCAAGGUGAUGGCAGAACGAAUUUCUUUCUUAAGCCCUUUUAUGAAUUUUGUCACAAAGAAGGUGUCAUCCAGAGCAGAAUUGUGGCUAAGGAGUUGAUGCAUAAUUGUUUCAAACUCAUGGUAAUAGUUUGUCUAAUAUCUAGAGCUUGAUUCAUACUGUUAUAGUAAAGAUCUUUGCCGAACUUAGAACAAACCGCAACACACAAAGCUACCCAAUUGUCAAUGUCAUGGUUUGCUUCAUAAGUCUGAAGCCACAAGGCUGCAUUUCCCUUGAAAUGCAAGGUAGCAUAAUCAGCUUUCAAGUCUUAGGGAACAUGAAACAUGUUGAAAUACUUUUCACAUUUCUCUUUCCAAAUUUUAGGAUUACUGCCAUUAAACUUUGGGAAGGUUGUCUUAGGCAUGCGGAAAUAAAUAUCUCUGUCAUGUCUAUCAGUCCUUGUGUCGGAAUGAGUAUAGUUGGACGAACAGAAGGCCCGGAUUCAAAUUGGUUACGAGGUAAAUGAAACGCACCAUUGCCCAGGACAUGCUCAUGAGCAAUGUCCUGGUUUGGAAGUGUAGCACCGUGCCCAGUAGGGCCAGGGAUUCGUGCGGCACCAGCUGAUGAGGAACCUUCAAGACGGUGAAGGCGCGCGCCUAAUUCCACAUUGAGGAUGGAUGUCACCAUUUGAUCCUGCGUGGAAGAGAUCUUCUCUGUAGUCACGCGCAGGUCUUGACAAUCCUUGGAAGUGCGAUCCAUUGCUGUAAUCGCUGUGUUGGCUGUCUGAACAGCCUGAGUAGCCGUCUGAACCGCUUGAGCAGCGACUUCUUUCGUUGCAUUCAGACCAGUGAGGAGUGCCUGAAUGUUUUUCUCCACUUCGGUCAGCGAUUCCUCCACCACGGCCAUACGUGCCGUAAGGGUCGGAGGUCGAGCUCCUCUUGCCGUGGUGCCUCGCCUCGGUCAACUCCGCGGCCGUUGCACGUCGCCUCCGGGCUCCGGCGCCACUUCACCACGCAGCAGCCGCCACACCACCGCGGCCAGGAGGGAGGGAUAUCGUGGAUUCUAGUGGAGAUCCCGACGCGGUUCUUCUCCCAACUCGACGAUUCUGAGCGCAAAUCGUGAGUCGCGGGAUUUUCUGGUGUUUUGAGGAUAAUGAUCCGAAGAUCGCUGGCUCUGAUACCAAAUAUCACGACCUUAACUCAAAUGGUGUCACACCAGGCGAAUUAGAGAUCUGAUUUCAGUGUAUUAGGGAUACAAGCUGGAAGAGAUAGAAGUCAAGGAGGAAGAGCACGGGAGGGGACAGUAGUGUUUCACACUCUGCAGUUCAUCGUUAUCUCUUCCUUACUCUCCUAGCAUUACACAGGCAAGGUGCCUGAUUCACUGGACACAGCCAGGCCAGGAGUGGACUCCAGUUCAGUGGGCUGCAACCUUUCUUCAGUGGACUUAUCCAUGACGGCCCGGCCCAGGUGCGUGACACGAGUGUACCAAGGCCUGCAGUUCCUGGUAGCUGACCGAUGCGCGUAACGCGAUAGCAUGCGCUUUUUGCAUUAGCUGAUGCGCCGUUGAUGCAGCUGGGAUAAGAUGGGAAACUUAAAACUGGUCAUCGUCAGUCGAGCCGCCAUAGGAAGCGUGUGUUUCUUUCGUGUUCGGUGGCUCAGGGCAUCCCUCUCCAUGCCUGGGUCCGUGACAUUCAAGUGGGGUUGUCGGCUGCUGGGCUUGCUCAAUUCCUUCUCCUUUGGGAGCGCAUCGCCUCCCUUCCCCCCUUGUAUGCAAGUGGUCCUCUUCUGGUUUUCUCUACUCACGUUCUGCUUACCAGGCUUUGUUUCUCGGUUCUACUCCCUACAAAUCCUUUGAGAUCAUUUGGCGGCCUAGAGCUCCGUUGGAACACCAAAUCUUUGCUUGGUUGGCUAUCCACGAUUGCUGCUGGACCGGAGAGCGCCGCCUGCGAUGAGGUGACUUGCCCCCUUGGCGACCAUGAACUUGAAACUACUGAUCAUCUUUUGUUGCAAUGCCCUUUUUCUAGGUCUCUCUGGUUCGAGGUGUUGUCUAUCACUCUAUCUUCAGCUGGGCUUUCAGGAUGACGUCCUCCUCGGACUAGCUUCAGGCUUGGUCCUCCUAACAUGACGAUUCAAAGGAGCCGGUACAUCAAGCGUGCCUACCACGAGUGUGAUGAACUCUGGAGAAGCAAGCGGCGGCGGGCUCUGAACGAUGACCAAGAAGCUGAGCCAGGUGUAACAACAAUACAGUCAUCCUCAUCCUUUCCUGUUGUGAAGAAGAUCACUAUUGCUGCGGUAUGUUCGGUCUCGUCUUUCUUCGGCUUGAACAAAGAUGAGCUGAGCCGCUCCGCUGUUCGAAGAUUUGAGCUGUUCGCUGAGAACCUAGGCAGGCAAGUUCAUGAGGGACGUGGAGUCUGGCUGUACACUUGGGCACUACAGGUUUUUUUUAUCCGCAAUUAAUUAUGCUCUGCCUGGCCGAGGCUGCAAUGCUUCUGAAUGUCACGAAUCGCGAUGGCUUGGGAAGUUAUGCCAGGAGGCAUUAAAAUGCUUCUUAACACAUUGGCUUUUCAGCUGGAAUUGAGUAUACUAUUGCAGAUGGGAUUAGCCUUUUGGUUUAACGAUGAGGACAUCACAGUUACAGUGUAGUACCAGUUGUGAGCUAGUACAUGGUAAUGGGUUGGAGAAGGGUGAUAAAUGCAGAGGAUGCUUCCUAAGGCGUCACAUUUCAUCCCCCAACUCGUCCAACACCCUGAUUUGGUAGCCUUCUUACUGCAGAAUCUCCCUUGAGCCCUACUAACCCAGACAGCAAACAAGCUACCCUAAGCGAUUAACCCGAAAGAGCAAGAAAAACUUGCGCCCAAUCCAUCCAUCAGUACGGACGAUUCCGCGGGGCUGCGAGCAAGAGCGGCGGGAGUGAAAGAGAGACGGAGGGAGGGAGGAACCCUAGCCUGACAUCGCGGGCGCGGUUGCGGCAGGCGACGGCUGCCCCCCUGCUCGACGGCCCCGUCUCCCAGGCCCAGCAGGUCUUGGCGCUCGUCUCCAUGACGCCUCGAUGUAAUCCGGCGGCGGCGGCGUGGUCUCGUCGGCUGUCGGCGCCGGAUGCAGAAUCGCUGGUGUGCCGGCCAGGGCACGAACUCCGGGCGGCACGGCAGCCGGGACGGCCCACGGGCCUCAUCUCGGGAAAAAGCCUGACCCGGCCAACUUUCGUGCUUGGCCC
rnacentral:lncRNA from 1 species